ACUAAGCGUACACGGUGGAUGCCCUGGCAGUCAGAGGCGAUGAAGGACGUGCUAAUCUGCGAUAAGCGUCGGUAAGGUGAUAUGAACCGUUAUAACCGGCGAUUUCCGAAUGGGGAAACCCAGUGUGAUUCGUCACACUAUCAUUAACUGAAUCCAUAGGUUAAUGAGGCGAACCGGGGGAACUGAAACAUCUAAGUACCCCGAGGAAAAGAAAUCAACCGAGAUUCCCCAGUAGCGGCGAGCGAACGGGGAGCAGCCCAGAGCCUGAAUCAGUGUGUGUGUUAGUGGAAGCGUCUGGAAAGGCGUGCGAUACAGGGUGACAGCCCCGUACACAAAAAUGCACAUGCUGUGAGCUCGAUGAGUAGGGCGGGACACGUGGUAUCCUGUCUGAAUAUGGGGGGACCAUCCUCCAAGGCUAAAUACUCCUGACUGACCGAUAGUGAACCAGUACCGUGAGGGAAAGGCGAAAAGAACCCCGGCGAGGGGAGUGAAAAAGAACCUGAAACCGUGUACGUACAAGCAGUGGGAGCACGCUUAGGCGUGUGACUGCGUACCUUUUGUAUAAUGGGUCAGCGACUUAUAUUCUGUAGCAAGGUUAACCGAAUAGGGGAGCCGAAGGGAAACCGAGUCUUAACUGGGCGUUAAGUUGCAGGGUAUAGACCCGAAACCCGGUGAUCUAGCCAUGGGCAGGUUGAAGGUUGGGUAACACUAACUGGAGGACCGAACCGACUAAUGUUGAAAAAUUAGCGGAUGACUUGUGGCUGGGGGUGAAAGGCCAAUCAAACCGGGAGAUAGCUGGUUCUCCCCGAAAGCUAUUUAGGUAGCGCCUCGUGAAUUCAUCUCCGGGGGUAGAGCACUGUUUCGGCAAGGGGGUCAUCCCGACUUACCAACCCGAUGCAAACUGCGAAUACCGGAGAAUGUUAUCACGGGAGACACACGGCGGGUGCUAACGUCCGUCGUGAAGAGGGAAACAACCCAGACCGCCAGCUAAGGUCCCAAAGUCAUGGUUAAGUGGGAAACGAUGUGGGAAGGCCCAGACAGCCAGGAUGUUGGCUUAGAAGCAGCCAUCAUUUAAAGAAAGCGUAAUAGCUCACUGGUCGAGUCGGCCUGCGCGGAAGAUGUAACGGGGCUAAACCAUGCACCGAAGCUGCGGCAGCGACGCUGAUGCGUUGUUGGGUAGGGGAGCGUUCUGUAAGCCUGCGAAGGUGUGCUGUGAGGCAUGCUGGAGGUAUCAGAAGUGCGAAUGCUGACAUAAGUAACGAUAAAGCGGGUGAAAAGCCCGCUCGCCGGAAGACCAAGGGUUCCUGUCCAACGUUAAUCGGGGCAGGGUGAGUCGACCCCUAAGGCGAGGCCGAAAGGCGUAGUCGAUGGGAAACAGGUUAAUAUUCCUGUACUUGGUGUUACUGCGAAGGGGGGACGGAGAAGGCUAUGUUGGCCGGGCGACGGUUGUCCCGGUUUAAGCGUGUAGGCUGGUUUUCCAGGCAAAUCCGGAAAAUCAAGGCUGAGGCGUGAUGACGAGGCACUACGGUGCUGAAGCAACAAAUGCCCUGCUUCCAGGAAAAGCCUCUAAGCAUCAGGUAACAUCAAAUCGUACCCCAAACCGACACAGGUGGUCAGGUAGAGAAUACCAAGGCGCUUGAGAGAACUCGGGUGAAGGAACUAGGCAAAAUGGUGCCGUAACUUCGGGAGAAGGCACGCUGAUAUGUAGGUGAAGCGACUUGCUCGUGGAGCUGAAAUCAGUCGAAGAUACCAGCUGGCUGCAACUGUUUAUUAAAAACACAGCACUGUGCAAACACGAAAGUGGACGUAUACGGUGUGACGCCUGCCCGGUGCCGGAAGGUUAAUUGAUGGGGUCAGCGCAAGCGAAGCUCUUGAUCGAAGCCCCGGUAAACGGCGGCCGUAACUAUAACGGUCCUAAGGUAGCGAAAUUCCUUGUCGGGUAAGUUCCGACCUGCACGAAUGGCGUAAUGAUGGCCAGGCUGUCUCCACCCGAGACUCAGUGAAAUUGAACUCGCUGUGAAGAUGCAGUGUACCCGCGGCAAGACGGAAAGACCCCGUGAACCUUUACUAUAGCUUGACACUGAACAUUGAGCCUUGAUGUGUAGGAUAGGUGGGAGGCUUUGAAGUGUGGACGCCAGUCUGCAUGGAGCCGACCUUGAAAUACCACCCUUUAAUGUUUGAUGUUCUAACGUGGACCCGUGAUCCGGGUUGCGGACAGUGUCUGGUGGGUAGUUUGACUGGGGCGGUCUCCUCCUAAAGAGUAACGGAGGAGCACGAAGGUUGGCUAAUCCUGGUCGGACAUCAGGAGGUUAGUGCAAUGGCAUAAGCCAGCUUGACUGCGAGCGUGACGGCGCGAGCAGGUGCGAAAGCAGGUCAUAGUGAUCCGGUGGUUCUGAAUGGAAGGGCCAUCGCUCAACGGAUAAAAGGUACUCCGGGGAUAACAGGCUGAUACCGCCCAAGAGUUCAUAUCGACGGCGGUGUUUGGCACCUCGAUGUCGGCUCAUCACAUCCUGGGGCUGAAGUAGGUCCCAAGGGUAUGGCUGUUCGCCAUUUAAAGUGGUACGCGAGCUGGGUUUAGAACGUCGUGAGACAGUUCGGUCCCUAUCUGCCGUGGGCGCUGGAGAACUGAGGGGGGCUGCUCCUAGUACGAGAGGACCGGAGUGGACGCAUCACUGGUGUUCGGGUUGUCAUGCCAAUGGCACUGCCCGGUAGCUAAAUGCGGAAGAGAUAAGUGCUGAAAGCAUCUAAGCACGAAACUUGCCCCGAGAUGAGUUCUCCCUGACUCCUUGAGAGUCCUGAAGGAACGUUGAAGACGACGACGUUGAUAGGCCGGGUGUGUAAGCGCAGCGAUGCGUUGAGCUAACCGGUACUAAUGAACCGUGAGGCUUAACC
rnacentral:rRNA from 1 species